rnacentral:rRNA from 1 species
AUUGAACGCUGGCGGCAUGCUUUACACAUGCAAGUCGAACGGUAACAGGCCGCAAGGUGCUGACGAGUGGCGAACGGGUGAGUAAUGCAUCGGAACGUGCCCAGUCGUGGGGGAUAACGCAGCGAAAGCUGCGCUAAUACCGCAUACGAUCUAUGGAUGAAAGCGGGGGACCGUAAGGCCUCGCGCGAUUGGAGCGGCCGAUGUCAGAUUAGGUAGUUGGUGGGGUAAAAGCCUACCAAGGCAACGAUCGGUAGCUGGUCUGAGAGGACGACCAGCCACACUGGGACUGAGACACGGACCAGACUCCUACGGGAGGCAGCAGUGGGGAAUUUUGGACAAUGGGGGCAACCCUGAUCCAGCCAUGCCGCGUGCGGGAAGAAGGCCUUCGGGUUGUAAACCGCUUUCGGCCGGAACGAAAUCGCCGGGGAAAACAUCUCCGGUGGAUGACGGUACCGGAAGAAGAAGCACCGGCUAACUACGUGCCAGCCGCCGCCGUAAAAC